rnacentral:lncRNA from 1 species
UUCUUUUUAGUCAUUUCCAUAGGAUCGGUUUUCUUACUUUUGUAGCUUUUUAUUUUGUUUUGUUUUUAACUCCUUUACCAUUUCCAGGGUAUAGAACGAGUUGAUUUCUGGUUACUCUAUUUUAACUUACUCACUUGUGGCUUUGUUUCCACAAUUCAUGCAGUUUUUCAAAAACUUGGCUCCUUUCACGUUUUCUUCUUUAGAUAGCAUUUAGUAAAGAAUUAUGAAUUCUUAGAAGGCUUUAUAUAUAUAUAUAUUUAAAUAUUUUAUUUAUUUAUUCAUGACACACACACACACACACACACACACACACACACAGAAGCAGAGACACAGACAGAGGGAGAAACAGGCUCCAUGCAGGAAGCAUGACGCGGGACUCAAUCCCCAGUCUCCAAGAUCACACCCUGGGCUGAAGGCGGCGCUAAACCGCUGAGGCACCCGGGCUGCCUGGUUCUUUAUAUUUUAAUUUACAUAGAAGACUUGUUCUGAAUCAAAGAAAUCUAUAAAUUGAAAUAAACUCAUGACAAAUUUGUGAGGAGUACGUUUCAUCUGUAAUUGCUAUAGUUAUAUGAACACUAAAAAUUUAACUUUAUGAUAUAAUCAAAUACCAUAUUACAUUACUUUUAUGAUGCAUAUUUUUGCAUAUUUUAACAACCCAAACCGAGAUGUAUACAAUAACUGAUGAACACUAUUAAUGAGCAGGAUUUUUUUCUUUCUUACUGGUACUAAAAUAAUAGUGCAUCUUACAGCUGGUUUUUUAGCUUUGAUAAAAAUACUAAUAAACAAUUUUUUUUACAAACAAAACAUAGUAUUUUGUUCCUAAGGUAAACAAGAGCUGUUGAAUAUAAGACUAUUAGAAAAUAAAGUGGUUAAGGGAGGGACGUCUGGGUGGGUGGUUCAGUGGUUGAGUGUCUGCCUUUGAGUCAGGGCGUGAUUCUGGGGUCCCUGGAUUGAGUCCUGCAUCAGGCCCUUUGGAGGGAGUCUGCUUCUCCCUCUGCCUAUGUCUCUGCCUCUCUCUCUGUGUCUCUCAUGAAUAAAUAAAUAAAAUCUUAAAAAAAAUAGUUAAGGGAAGGCCUUGUCCUUUCCAUGAAAAAAAAAAAGAAAAAAAUUUCAUGCUGUAUUGAGAUCAGUUGCAAAGUGAUUAUAGAUUUAUAUUCUCAUUAUAAAAUUUUUCACUAGUUCAUUGUAAAAUAAAUUUUUUUUUUUUUUUUUUUUUUGUGGCCUCCAAACCGUUUAUUGGUCCCGCCUUGGAGGUGGGGUCGCUGGGGGCGGGGCAGACACAAGGUUGCAGGGAGCGGUGUAAAAGAAAAUUUGAAUGGAGUUUUCUUUAUAAUGACUAAAGGAUGGAGAGUAAAAUUGUUGGGUCUCUAAUAAUGCUUAUAGCACAUCUAUGGUAAAUGGAUUCAAGGUAAAAUCAUUUUACCAACAUUCAAGAUAAAUUUAAUAUGAUACUGUAUAAGAUCAUAUAAUGUAUACUGGAAGGCACAAGUCAUUUGCAAAGAUAGCUAGAAUUUUGUUCAUGAUGUGACUUUAUUUCAGGACUCCCAGAAACUUAAAUACUUGACUAAGAUUUGUCCCGCUCCCAUAUAUUUGGUCUUUAAAUCCUUUCAGUUUCAUGAAGCAAGAGUCAGGCAUUUCUCUAAAUUGAUCAUGACUAAAUGUUUGGAGGCACACAGAAGGUUCAGUUGUGGCACCCAUCAUUUAAUCCCUAUCUUGAUUAAAAAUGGGAUUAACAAACUGAAAUAUGGCAUCACAGUUCAUCAAGCUGACUUUGCCUACUUUUCAAAAUUCAAUCAUUUUUGACAUUAACACAAUUGUUGGGGAUCCCUGGGAUCAAGUCCCACAUCGGGCUCCCGGCAUGGAGCCUGCUUCUUGCUCUGCCUGUGUCUCUGCCUCUCUCUCUCUCUCUAUCAUAAAUAAAUGAAUCAAUCAAUCAAUCAAUCAAUCUUAAAAAAAAAGAAAAUGUUUAACACAAUUGUUUAUCUCUGGAAAGUUGACGUGCAUAUGCUUUCUGUGCAGGUAAUUCAUAUGUUUAUUUUUUAAAGAUUUUAUUUAUUUAUUCAUGAGAGACAGAGAGAAAGAGAGAGAGAGGGAGAGAGAGUGAGAUAGGCAGAGGGAGAAGCCGGUUACCUGCAGGGAGGCUGCUGUGGGACUUGAUCUCAGGAUUCUGGGAUCACAACCUGAGCCAAAGGCAGAUGCUCAACCACUGAGCCACCCAGGUGCCCCUCAAGUGCCCUCCGUUUAAUGCCCAUCACCCAAUUAUCCCUGUCACCUACUUCCCCUCCAGCAACCCUGUUUACUUCCUAGAGUUCAGCAUCUCUCAUGGUUCGCCUCCCUCUCUAUUUUCAUCUUAUUUUAUUUUUCCUUCCCUUCCCCUAUUUUAACUGUUCAUGUAGGUAAAUACUGCUGUAGAAACAAGGUGGUUUUUAGAGCCAGAUAGAUCUUUGAUAAAAUCUGAAUUCCCCACUUAACAGGCAUAUGACUUUUGGCAAGAUACUCUACCUCUCUAAGCUUCAAUUUCCUGUUAAAAUUAGGACUAUAUACUGAAUAUUAUACAGUUUUGCUUUAAUGUAACAUACGUGUUCAUAAAAAUCACUGUGCUAUGCAAAAUCACAAGACAAAUACCACAAGAUUUGUGGAAAAAUAGGAUUGGGAUAUGACACUCAAAAAUUUAAUCAGUUACACAUGAAAAAAAAAAGGAAUCUAAUAAAAAUAGGAGUGGAGAUGGCUAAGAAAUACAGAAGUACUAUAAUUAGUAUAGUAUUUUAUCUUAAAAUUACCUAAAGUUUACUUGUGGAAGUGGGUAUCAGGAAACUUGUUAUUUUGAAGUGGUAGGAGAGUUUCUAAAAUCAAAUGGACUGUUGUAACGUGAGAAGUAGAUGGGCGCAAAUUGAAGCAGCUGGUAGAUCUAUGAAGUGCUUCUGUCAGUAUGCCUACCUGGCUCAGUUCAGGUGGGCGUAGUUACUAUAUUCUCUCAGUGUUUCCUGCAGGCAAAAUUGCACAUAAGGAUAUUUUGUCCUUUGUCUUUUUUUUUACCUCACACACUUGAAGCACUUGUCUCUCCUCAUGUGAUAGUCAGCCUCCAAGAUGGUCCCCAAUGAUCUCUACCUGCUGGUAUUCACACCUUUGUAUAUUCUCCUUCCACACCGUACCAGGGGUUGGUCCAUGUGAAAUACAGCAGAGUGAUGGUGUGUCACUUCUGAGAUUAGGUUAUAAUAGACUGCAGCUUCGUCUUGGGCUAGUCCUUGCUUGGAUCAUUUACUCUGGGAGGGCACCAUCCCAUCUAUCAUGUAAGGGGACACUGGGCAUCCCAUGGAGAAGUCCAUGUGACAAGGAAUUGAGGUCUCCUGCCAACAACACUGAGUGAUCUUGGAGUGAAUCCACAGACUUCAGGUGACCGCAGUCUCACCUGAUAGAUUAACUGCAACCUUAUGAGAGACCUUAAGCCAGUAUCAUCCAGAUGACCUCUCCCAGAUUCUUGACCCACAGGCACUGUGAAAAAAAUAAAUGUUUUAAGCUACUAGAUGUUGGGGUCAUUUGUUAUGCAGCAACAGAUAACCAGUACACUUGAUUUCACUUAUUUCCUAUUUCACCAACUGUUUUUUUUCUUUUUAAAAGAUUUAUUUUAGACAGAGAGAGAUGAGUGGGAGAGGCAGAGAAAACCCUAAGUUUAGUGUAGAGCCUGGUUCCAUGACCCUGAGAUCACGACCUAAGCUGAAACCAAGAGUCUAUUGCUCAACUGACUGCUACCCAGGCAUCCCAUCACUAGUUGUUUUUUCUCCUCCUCCUCUUUUAACAAAUCUCUACAUGUUGGGAUUCUUUAGGGUUCAGUCCCAGGUCAUCUCUUAUCUCUCUACAUCUUUUAUCCUGUGAUUUUAAGUAUCAUUUUAUAUUUUAUCACCAAGCUAGAACAUUCCUUUGAAUUGCAAACCCACAUGCUUAACUCCAUACCUUGCCUUUUUACUUUCAUGUUUCACACACAUCUCAUACCUAACAUAUUGAAAAUGGGGUGCCUGGGUGGCUCAGUCAGUUAAGCAUCUGGCUUCUUGGUUUUGCUUACAUUGUUAUCUCAGGGUCAAGAGAUCAAGCCCUGCUUCUGGCUCUACAAGGUGUCUGCUUGAGAUUCUCUCCCUUUCCUUCUCCCUCUGCCCCUUACCGUGCUCCUGUGCAUGCUCUUUCUCUAAAUAAAUAACAUCUUUAAAAAAAAAAAAAUGGAAUUCCUGAUUUCCUUUCUAUUUCCCAACCUAUUCAUUCUUCCCUUUCCUAUCAUUCUCUUCAAUCUUCCCAAUUAUUAAAACAUGCCAAAAUCCACCCAGUUAAUCAAAGCCAUAACCUAGGCAGCAACACUAUUUCCUCCCUUUCUCUAAACUCCUAACAUCCCUCAGGAGGACCUGUCAAUCUCAUUUCUAAAAUAUAUUUACAAUUCUUUUUCUCACCACAAUCAUCAUUACAUCACUUAAACUAUUAAAAGAACAUCCUAACUGAUCUUGCUGCCCAAUGUCAACUAUUUCUCACACAGCAACUUAAAAGUCUUUUUCAAAUCGAUGUCAUACCUAUGAUUAAAACCUUUAAACAACUUUCUACUCC